UGAACGCUGGCGGCGUGCCUAAUACAUGCAAGUCGAACGAAGAGCUCUUAGUAUUCGUACUUUGAGUUUCUUAGUGGCGAACGGGUGAGUAACGCGUUGGUGACCUGCCCCGAAAUGUGGGAUAACUCCGGGAAACUGGAGCUAAUACCUCAUGUGAUCAGUGGAUUUAGAAACUACUGAUUAAAGGUCUUCGGAUCGUUUCGGGAGGGGCCUGCGUCCCAUCAGCUAGUUGGUAGGGUAAUGGCCUACCAAGGCGACGACGGGUAGGGGACCUGAGAGGGUGAUCCCCCACAAUGGAACUGAAACACGGUCCAUACAUCUACGGAUGGCAGCAGUAGGGAAUAUUGCACAAUGGGCGAAAGCCUGAUGCAGCAACGCCGCGUGUGCGAUGAAGGCCUUCGGGUUGUAAAGCACUUUUCUGAGGGAAGAGGAAGGACGGUACCUCAGGAAUAAGUCUCGGCUAACUAC
rnacentral:rRNA from 1 species